UACGUAGGGUGCAAGCGUUAAUCGGAAUGACUGGGCGUAAAGGGUGCGCAGGCGGUCUGCUAAGACAGAGGUGAAAUCCCCGGGCUUAACCUGGGAAUGGCGUCUGAAACUACGGAGCUGGAGUGUGGCAGAGGGAGGUAGAAUUCCACGUGUAGCGGUGAAAUGCGUAGAUAUGUGGAGGAAUACCGAUGGCGAAGGCAGCCUCCUGGGCCAACACUGACGCUCAUGCACGAAAGCGUGGGGAGCAAACAGG
rnacentral:rRNA from 1 species